rnacentral:rRNA from 1 species
CAGCCGCCGCGGUAAUACGUAGGGGGCUAGCGUUAUCCGGAUUUACUGGGCGUAAAGGGUGCGUAGGUGGUCCUUCAAGUCGGUGGUUAAAGGCUACGGCUCAACCGUAGUAAGCCGCCGAAACUGGAGGACUUGAGUGCAGGAGAGGAAAGUGGAAUUCCCAGUGUAGCGGUGAAAUGCGUAGAUAUUGGGAGGAACACCAGUAGCGAAGGCGGCUUUCUGGACUGCAACUGACACUGAGGCACGAAAGCGUGGGUAGCAAACAGGAUUAGAUACCCCCGUAGUCCCUGUCUCUUAUACA